ensembl:lncRNA
UUUUAGAGCCGUACCUGCAGCAUAUGGAAGUUCCCAGGCUAGGAUUCAAAUUCCAGGCUACAGCUGCCGGCCUAUGCCAUAGCCACAGCCAUGCCAGAUCUGAGCAGUGUCUUCAACCUACACCGCAGUUCAUGGCAACACUGGAUCCUUGGAUCCUUAAUCCAAUGAGUGAGGCCAAGGAUAGAACCCACAUCCUCAUUUAUACUAGUCAGGUUUGUUACCACUGAGCCACAAUGGGAAUUCUCAUUUAAUAUUUUAAUAAAAACUAUCUCUAGAAAAAUUAAAAAUUACAUAUCCAGAGUUUCACAAGGGUUUCAAGACUCUAUCAACAUUUGUUUAGGAUAAAAAACGUUUGUCAUAAAAGGAUGAAAUCAAAUAAUUUGUAUAGAUUGUAGUUUAGAGUUCAAAAGUUUAAUAUUUAAAAAAUAGAUAAAUCUAUUUUAAGUGAACAACUUUUUUUAUAAUUAAUCAAGCAAAAUUAAGAUAUUUACAAAGGAGGGAGUUUUUAGUUUUAGUCUUAGUUAUAAAAAUUUUUCAAACAGAUUUAUACAGGUUGGGAGUUUCCAUUGUGGGAACAGUAACAAAUCUGACUGGCUACUAUCCAUGAAAAUAAGGGUUUGAUCCCUGGCUUUGCUCAGUAGGUUAAGGAUCCGGUGUUGCUGUGAGCUGUGGUGUAGGUCACAGACAUGGCUCAGAUCCCACAUUGCUAUGGCUGUGGCAUAGGCCAGCAGCUGUAUGCUGAGGGUGCGGCCCUAAAAAGACAAAAAAAAAAAACAAAAAAAAAACCCAACGACUUCAAGUCAUUGUAAAUAAAGUAUGUUCAAAAGAAUGUAUAAUUUGUAAUAAUAUGGGGAGAAAAUAAUUAGGGCAGUGUGAGCUUUUUAAACCCAAAAAUUAAAUACCAAAAUACAUUUCACAUAAAAGAGUUAAGUGGAUUUUAUUUAUUCAAGUAAACAUUUUUAUUAUAAUACAUGAGAAUGGACAAUUCCUGUGACAAAGUACUGUGGUCUAUGGUUUGAUGUGUUUCUAGGAUGAUUUUUCCAGAUGAUACUUCUGGAUCUGACAUCAAUGCCCAACACAGGCUUUCCAUUGGCAAUGUAUGAGUUCUAGAAGCCACUGCCUCUAUCUUUCUUCAGAUGCUGAGUGCCAUUUUCUACCACCAUUUUAUCCUCCAUUACUUAUAAAAAUCCCUCUCUAAAAUUCAACCUAUGCUAUAAAAUUAACAAAAUCAGGCAUUAGUAUGUAUUUUCCCACAAAGAGAAUUAUUAAAUAAAAAGUCAACUUAAUCUCUUUUCCUUUAACGUUUAAAGAUUUAUGUAAUCUCUGUAAAAAGUCAGAGUACUAUACAACACAAAACAUGCAAGAAAUCUCACUACCAGGUACACAUAAUAUAUUGAAAACUGCUAAAAUAUUCAAAAAAUUAAUUCUCCUGGGUUAGUGAUUCUCCAGUAGAAACUAUCGUUUACAAACAAAAGACUAUAUUUUAAUAAGUGGAAAAAUAGUACCUGAUUUGGUAUAAAGUAAUUGUGAGAUCUUUUCUCAUUAGUGAAGUGCUUAAUUAAGAAAACUUUUUCCACCAUAUAAUUUGUCAAUGGCACAAAAUGUCUUUCUCCUCUUUAAAGCAUUAGUUUCUAAAAUUAUAGUAUUACUCAUUUAAAUUUUACUUAAUCAGUAAGUUUUACUGUUUUUUCUCUCAGUAAUAAAAAAAACUACUAAAACAAAAACAUUUAACUUUUAUUUUCAAAAGUUUGCCAUAAACAUACAUACAACAUUAAAUGUGACCCCUUCAUGAGCUGUCCAUGUGCCAUGAAGCACUUAACAACAAAAAACAUAUGUAAGCUUUAGGGUAAAAUUUAACAAGGAAUCAAAAUAUCUUCCAAAAAAGGGGGGUGGGAAGGGGAAUCAAUAAAUUAAAAGUCAUAGCUUUUAUUUUAUAAAAAAUAGUUUGAAUAAUCUUCUUAUAAAUCUUAAAUGCUUACAAAAGCAGGAAAUACAUUUAAAAUAGUCUUUUAACACAGAUUCAUUAGUACAAUGUAGUUGUGAUCAGAAAAAUAACAAUGAAAAUGACCUUUCAGUAGUUUACAUUCUCUUCUCAGCAAAUUCCCCAUAGAAUUUAACCAAUCUGCAAUUCAAAAUAAGAUUAACUGCCAACAAGACCAGACUAGUGGUAGUUAGUACCUGAAUAUCAAGCUCUGUUCCCUUUAAUAUAUUUUACCAAAAAUUUAAAGGUUGCUCAAUGAUAGGUACUGAUAACAAUACUUGACUGCACAGUCACCACCCAUGACUACUGUGUAGCAGCUUAAAACAAGCUUUGGUCAGUAAAUUAAAAGGAUAUAAAUCAAAUAACAAGGUCAGAAGAGUUGUUUUAGUACCAAUUUCCUGGCCUUGAGUAAACUUUAAAUACACUGACAAGGCAAGGAAAAUAUAAUCAAAUAUACAGGGAGAUCUCUAUUUUUUAAUCAUUUGGCAUUUUAUAGUAAUAACUUACUAUUUAAAAUAGUAUUUUACAUUCCUGUAC